UACGGAGGGUGCAAGCGUUGCUCGGAAUUAUUGGGCGUAAAGCGUAUGUAGGCGGUUUUCUAAGUCUGAUGUGAAAUCCCGGGGCUCAACCCCGGAACUGCAUUGGAUACUGGAAGCUAGAGGACGAUAGAGGAUGGUGGAAUUCCAGGUGUAGGGGUGAAAUCCGUAGAUAUCUGGAGGAACAUCAGUGGCGAAGGCGGCCAUCUGGAUCGUACCUGACGCUGAGAUACGAAAGCGUGGGGAGCAAACAGG
rnacentral:rRNA from 1 species